AGUUCGCGUGGAGCCAUCCUUGAAAUACCACCCUGGCAUGCUUGAGGUUCUAACUCUGGUCCGUGAUCCGGAUCGAGGACAGUGUAUGGUGGGCAGUUUGACUGGGGCGGUCUCCUCCUAAAGAGUAACGGAGGAGUACGAAGGUGCGCUCAGACCGGUCGGAAAUCGGUCGCAGAGUAUAAAGGCAAAAGCGCGCUUGACUGCGAGACAGACACGUCGAGCAGGUACGAAAGUAGGUCUUAGUGAUCCGGUGGUUCUGUAUGGAAGGGCCAUCGCUCAACGGAUAAAAGGUACUCCGGGGAUAACAGGCUGAUACCGCCCAAGAGUUCAUAUCGACGGCGGUGUUUGGCACCUCGAUGUCGGCUCAUCACAUCCUGGGGCUGAAGCCGGUCCCAAGGGUAUGGCUGUUCGCCAUUUAAAGUGGUACGCGAGCUGGGUUUAGAACGUCGUGAGACAGUUCGGUCCCUAUCUGCCGUGGACGUUUGAGAUUUGAGAGGGGCUGCUCCUAGUACGAGAGGACCGGAGUGGACGAACCUCUGGUGUUCCGGUUGUCACGCCAGUGGCAUUGCCGGGUAGCUAUGUUCGGAAAAGAUAACCGCUGAAAGCAUCUAAGCGGGAAACUUGCCUCAAGAUGAGAUCUCACUGGGAACUUGAUUCCCCUGAAGGGCCGUCGAAGACUACGACGUUGAUAGGCUGGGUGUGUAAGCGUUGUGAGGCGUUGAGCUAACCAGUACUAAUUGCCCGUGAGGCUUGACCAU
rnacentral:rRNA from 1 species